rnacentral:tRNA from 1 species
GGAGAGGUGGCUCAGUGGUUCAAAGCCCUGGGUUUGCUCCAGAGGAUCCAGGUUCAAUUCCUAGCAUCCACG